UACGGGGGGUGCGAGCGUUGUCCGGAAUCACUGGGCGUAAAGGGCGCGUAGGUGGUUUGAUAAGGGUGUGGUGAAAGUCCGGGGCUCAGCCCCGGAUCUGCCGUGCCGACUGUCAAACUCGAGGACUGUAGAGGCAGACGGAAUUCCGGGUGUAGCGGUGGAAUGCGUAGAGAUCCGGAGGAAGACCGGUGGCGAAGGCGGUCUGCUGGGCAGUUUCUGACACUGAGGCGCGACAGCGUGGGGAGCAAACAGG
rnacentral:rRNA from 1 species